rnacentral:rRNA from 1 species
AUUGAACGCUGGCGGCAGGCCUAACACAUGCCAGUCGAGCGGAUGAAGGGAGCUUGCUCCUGGAUUCAGCGGCGGACGGGUGAGUAAUGCCUAGGAAUCUGCCUGGUAGUGGGGGAUAACGUCCGGAAACGGGCGCUAAUACCGCAUACGUCCUGAGGGAGAAAGUGGGGGUUCUUCGGACCUCACGCUAUCAGAUGAGCCUAGGUCGGAUUAGCUAGUUGGUGGGGUAAAGGCCUACCAAGGCGACGAUCUGUAACUGGUCUGAGAGGAUGAUCAGUCACACUGGAACUGAGACACGGUCCAGACUCCUACGGGAGGCAGCAGUGGGGAAUAUUGGACAAUGGGCGAAAGCCUGAUCCAGCCAUGCCGCGUGUGUGAAGAAGGUCUUCGGAUUGUAAAGCACUUUAAGUUGGGAGGAAGGGCAGUAAGUUAAUACCUUGCUGUUUUGACGUUACCAACAGAAUAAGCACCGGCUAACUUCGUG